UACGGGGGGGGCAAGCGUUGUUCGGAAUUACUGGGCGUAAAGGGCGCGUAGGCGGCCUUCUAAGUCGGACGUGAAAUCCCUCGGCUUAACCGAGGAACUGCGUCCGAUACUGAAAGGCUUGAAUCCGGGAGAGGGAUGUGGAAUUCCAGGUGUAGCGGUGAAAUGCGUAGAUAUCUGGAGGAACACCGGUGGCGAAGGCGGCAUCCUGGACCGGUAUUGACGCUGGGGCGCGAAAGCUAGGGGAGCAAACGGG
rnacentral:rRNA from 1 species